CAUCCGGGGAUUUGACGAAGUCUGAAGCAGCAACGCCGCGUGAGUGAUGAAGGCCUUCGGGUUGUAAAGCUCUGUCUUCUGGGACGAUAAUGACGGUACCAGAGGAGGAAGCCACGGCUAACUACGUGCCAGCAGCCGCGGUAAUU
rnacentral:rRNA from 1 species